rnacentral:lncRNA from 1 species
GUUAAAACCUUGCAAACAAAAUUAUUCUAGCCUGUCACAGACCUGCCUGCUCAGGCAAAUCCAACAGUGCCUGCAGACUGACCCAGAGUUAACUUCAAAGUUGGCAUCCAGCAGCUGUUUCCGUGAGAUCUGGUAUAACUGCUUCAGUUCUCAGAGAAAAUGGGAUUAUUCAGGAUGAGGAUGAGGGGAUCCUUAUAAAAAGCAGUUGUGUGGCAGGACCAUGCUGCUCCAGAGACACUGAGAACCGCCUGUGUCUCACAGCCCAACUUGGUUCCAUUCAGAAAUCCCAUUCCAGAACCUACAGGGCCUCCCACACCUUAAACUGAUGUCUGCACUCCUCUUCUUUGAAUUAGAUGUUGUCUGGUCUGAGAUGUGUGUCUUCCAAGGAGGAAGGGAUGACAAGCUCACCUCCCCGCUCAUCCACAGGCUCCAGAAAAAAUCCCUGAGGAACCUACAGCUUGCCAGGAUUUGGUGA